rnacentral:misc_RNA from 1 species
GACGAACCGUCCGAACGUUAUUCGGAAUCACUGGGCUUAAAGAGUGCGUAGGCGGCUUGCCAGGCGGGGUGUGAAAUCCCUCGGCCCAACCGAGGAAUGGCGCUCCGAACCGGCAGGCUCGAGGAAGAUGGGGCGAGCGGAACUGAUGGUGGAGCGGUGAAAUGCGUUGAUAUCAUCAGGAACACCUGUGGCGAAAGCGGCUCGCUGGGUCUUUUCUGACGCUGAGGCACGAAAGCCAGGGUAGCGAGCGGG